rnacentral:rRNA from 1 species
UGGGGAGUAUUGCACAAUGGAGGGAACUCUGAUGCAGCGACGCCGCGUGAGUGAAGAAGUAUUUCGGUAUGUAAAGCUCUAUCAGCAGGGAAGAAAGGCCCGCAAGGGAGAUGACGGUACCUGACUAAGAAGUCCCGGCUAACUACGUGCCAGCAGCCGCGGUAAUACGUAGGGGACAAGCGUUAUCCGGAUUUACUGGGUGUAAAGGGAGCGCAGACGGCAGUGCAAGUCUGAAGUGGAAGCCCGGGGCUCAACCCCGGGACUGCUUUGGAAACUGUUCUGCUAGAGUACUGGAAGGGCAAGCGGAAUUCCUGGUGUAGCGGUGAAAUGCGUAGAUAUCAGGAGGAACACCGGUGGCGAAGGCGGCUUGCUGGACAGCAACUGACGUUGAGGCUCGA